ACUGGAUCAAAUUCAUAGGAGAGCCAUGAAGAUGUCAGAGAAUUUUCAGUGGAGAAGAACAAGUACAAGAGCGACCCAUCCCAACAUCAAGCGAGUACAGCAGGAGGCCAGACUGGCUGAGUGGAGAAUUCUGCAUCACUUUUAAAUACAAAAAUGAAGAAGAUGGAGGGUGGAAGCAGCACUGAAGCUGCCAAGAGACAUACACAGGCAUUGCAUGGACAUGCAGGGACAGAACUGGAAAAGCCAGAGUUCAGCUUGACCUGGCUGAAGAUCAAGGAAAGAAGGAAAAGUGCAGCAUGUGAACACCUUGCCCUUCCCCAGCUGCUCCAGGUUUAUAAAGAGAAAGCUGUUCUCUGCCACAAGACAGGAAAUAGUUACUCACAGCAGGGGAUGGAAAUACCCCCGUGCACCACGACAGAACAGAGCUCUGAAAAGAGGAUGUGGGGACAAUGGCAGUGAUAACAUCUCUCUGCCAGCUAAGAAGUGGCUGUGGCUCUGUCAUACAGAAAACAUGUGAUGAUGAGCAAGGCCCCUCUUACACACAGGCUGUGCUGUCUUGGCCCUGCUUGGGCACUUGAUGGGAGUUGCCACCAAUGCUCCACUGUGCUCUUCUGAGGGGAUGGGACAGAGCUGGAGAAGGGUCUGUCAGCCUCUGUUGGUGACAUGCCAGAGGAGUCCCUGGUGUGUAAUGGAACCAUGCAAGGAGCAAUCAGAGCCAAACUGAGGCUUCCUUGCUUAAGCUCCUUGAAAGGGAACUGAAGGUCACUGCGGAGUCCUCACUGCUGGAAUGAUCCUGCUGCCUUUGGGCACUUUGUCCCUCUCCCACACAGUGUUUGCCUCAGCACAGGGAACAUGCUCAGCCCAGCCAGGCCAACCUCUGGCUGCCUUCUGCCACACAGCUACCCUGCUCCUCACUGACUCUCUUACACAGUUUUUAAGCCCUGCUUUAAGACAAUCAGAGAUUCUAACCAGUGUCUUUGGUGGUGGUUUAUUAGUUAGGUUCAAGCACAUUUUUAAACAAAACACUGCUCUGCACAUCACAGGACAGUUUUCACUCUGGCCCCUGGGUCUUCCAGGUGAAGUAGUUUGAACCCGACUUUAAAGAAAAUACUGUUCUUAGUUAAGUGAACUGGGAUCCAGACAAUACCCCCCAGAAGUAUUGGAUGACUUGCAAGACUUUUCACAGCAAAAUCAGAAACCAACAGCCUCUACCACCAAAGCCAAGAGAGAAAACAGCAGGCUAAAUCCUCCUUCUACACUGCACAAGCAAGGGCACCAGCUGCUUCAUUCAAGCCGUGGUCUCCCCUCUGGAGCAGCACGUGUGCAUGGACACACAGACACACACAGAGGAUCCAGGAAGCUGCCCUCCUGCAAGGGGAAAAGCAGCUGCCUCUGCAGCAGCUCCCUGAUCACUGUGUGUAACACCCAUGAACAGGGAAGGCUGCCUGCAUUUCUGAUG
rnacentral:lncRNA from 1 species